rnacentral:rRNA from 1 species
UCCGCCCGGGGACUACAAGCAUGAGCUUAAAACCCAAAGGACUUGGCGGUGCUUUAGCCCCACCUAGAGGAGCCUGUUCUAGAACCGAUAACCCUCGUUAAACCUCACCCCUUCUUGUUAUAUUACCGCCUAUAUACCGCCGUCGUCAGCUUACCUUGUGAAAGAAUAAUAGUAAACAAAAACGGUUUAACCCAAAACGUCAGGUCGAGGUGUAGCGAAUGAAGGGGGAAGAAAUGGGCUACAUUUCCUAAAUGUAGGAAAUUACGGAAUAUUACGAUGAAAAAGAAUAUAAAGGAGGAUUUAGCAGUAAAUGGAAAAUAGAAGCUUCC